UACGGAGGGGGCUAGCGUUGUUCGGAAUUACUGGGCGUAAAGCGUACGUAGGCGGUUUUGUAAGUUAGAGGUGAAAGCCCGGGGCUCAACCCCGGAAUUGCCUUUAAGACUGCAUCGCUUGAAUCGCGGAGAGGUGAGUGGAAUUCCGAGUGUAGAGGUGAAAUUCGUAGAUAUUUGGAAGAACACCAGUGGCGAAGGCGGCUCACUGGACGCGUAUUGACGCUGAGGUACGAAAGCGUGGGGAGCAAACAGG
rnacentral:rRNA from 1 species